rnacentral:rRNA from 1 species
UGGGGAAUAUUGCACAAUGGGCGAAAGCCUGAUGCAGCAACGCCGCGUGAGUGAUGAAGGUCUUCGGAUUGUAAAGCUCUGUCUUUUGGGACGAUAAUGACGGUACCAAAGGAGGAAGCCACGGCUAACUACGUGCCAGCAGCCGCGGUAAUACGUAGGUGGCGAGCGUUGUCCGGAUUUACUGGGCGUAAAGGGUGCGUAGGCGGAUGUUUAAGUGAGAUGUGAAAUACCCGGGCUUAACUUGGGUGCUGCAUUUCAAACUGGAUAUCUAGAGUGCAGGAGAGGAGAAUGGAAUUCCUAGUGUAGCGGUGAAAUGCGUAGAGAUUAGGAAGAACACCAGUGGCGAAGGCGAUUCUCU